rnacentral:rRNA from 1 species
CACAAGCAGCGGAGCGUGUGGUUAAUUCGAUGUUACACGAAGAACCUUACCAGGGUUGACAUGCAAGUAUCGGCAGGCGCGAAAGCGUCGGCCACCUCGGGAGGCUUGCACAGGUGCUGCAUGGCUGUCGUCAGCUCGUGUCGUGAGAUGUUCGGUUAAGUCCGCUAACGAGCGCAACCCUCACUGUGUGUUAUAUGUGUCACACGGGACCGCCGGUCUUAAGCCGGAGGAAGGUGGGAUGACGUCAAGUCAGCAUGGCCUUUAUAUCCUGGGCUACACACACGCUACAAUGGCCAACACAAUAGGUUGCUAAGCCGCGAGGUGGAGCCAAUCCAUAAAGUUGGUCUCAGUUCAGAUUGUAGGCUGCAACCCGCCUGCAUGAAGAUGGAGUUGCUAGUAACCGCAGGUCAGCAAUACUGCGGUGAAUACGUUCCCGGGUCUU